CCCAAUAUCCAUAAAUUCUUCCAAUAAUAAUAAUGAGAUAGGUUGAUUUUUAUCUACAAAAAUUGCCUCCCAUCCGACAUCGCUAGGGUUCCAACUAAAUUGUGAGGAGGCGUAGUUCAGAAAUUGUGAAGGUGGCUGAAAAAUAACAGGCAGAGAAUUAUGCCGGCCAGCACGAAGAGGAAGGAGAGGGUGCCGGGAUCGAAAUCCGAGGCACCUUCCGGCCGACGAGGCGGCGGAGAUGGUCCGGAUCUAAUCAGCCUCCUGCCGGACGACCUCCUCUCCUCCAUCCUCUCCCUGCUCCCCAUCAAAGACUCCGCUCGGACCAGCGUCCUCUCCACACGGUGGCGCCACCUCUGGACCACCGCUUCCCUCCACCUAGACAGCGACCACCUCCACCGCAACAAAAGACCCAGUGCUUCCUGGACGCCGCGCCACCAGGAGGCCUGGCGCGCCCGUGCCAUCGACCAGAUCCUCUCCGUCCAUUGCGGACCCAUCCCCACCAGCCAUCUCUCCGGGUAUUUCCUCGACAACCCCACCAACGUCGAUACCUGGCUCGAAAUCCUCACCCGAAAAGGCAUCCGAGACCUCUCCUUCUUCUGCCAUUACGAACGCCGCUUCGUCGAGGACGCCGAGGAGCAGCAGUGCUUCUACCGCUUGCCCUCUUCCCUUCUCACCUGCAACUCUUUGAUAACCUUGAAGCUUACGAAUUGCCAAUUACCAGAACUUCCGCGAUCCGUUCCCGCCUUCGUUAACCUCAGAAACCUAUUCAUGCAAUUCACCGCCCUAUGCGACGGCACCUUCCACGACCUGCUUUCCUACUGCCGGUCCCUCCAGCACGUAGCUUUGAUCCACUGCACGGGCCUUCGCAGCCUCCAUGUCCGCUCUCGGAGUCUCGACAGCUUGGUGCUGAAGUGCUCGUCUCCGGACUACACUGACUCGGUCGAGGAGCUCAUCAUCGAAGACGCCCCCAAUUUCAGGUGCUUGAUGCUCCGCGAGAACGCGUUGGAGUAUUUGCAGGUGGAGAUUCUCAAUGCCCCAAAGAUGGAGCUUUUUGGCUUCGUUUGUAUGGACAUCAAGAGGUUGAAGAUGGGCGGAACUUGCUUUGAGCCGAACAGAACGGUUAGUAGCUUGAGUACUCGGAUGCAUAGUCUGAAAACAUUGGCCAUUAGUGUGAUCUUCGAUGAUGAUAGCGAGGCAGAGGUCGUAUAUGACUUGCUCAAAUGUUUCCCUUGCUUGGAAACGUUGGAUGUUCGGAUUGUUUUCUUGGAUGAUCCACAUGAUGGCGAUUCAGGGUAUUGGGAGCGGCAGGGUUCCCUUGAUUGCCUUGAUUGCCAUCUGGAAAGUGUCACAAUGAAAGGUUUUGAAGGGCAGAGCACUGACCUAGGGUUUGCCAAGUUUAUUAUUGCAAAAGCACGAGUGCUUAAGGAGAUGACUCUUCUUUGUGCGUCUACUAAUUGGAGAAGAGAAUGGGUAGAGAAUAUACAGCAGCAGUUGUGCCUUGAGAAGAGUGCCUCUCCGGCUGUGGAGGUGGUUUUAAUGAAAGAUCAAUAUCGAAUUGAUGAAUUUUCAACCUGGAAUUUAGUGAUUAAUGACUGGUAAACUAUUUUUUGUACAAAGAAUUCAUGAUCUCUUUUAGUUAAUUUAGACUUUGGUUUCCUUUCUGUCUUCAAUCAAACCUGCAAUAUUUGCUGAUAUGGUCUUUGUACGCUCGUUUCUUCCGACAACAUAUGUAAUUUUUGAGAUUUGGAUUGACCUCACACAAGAUGGUGAGGAGAGUAGUGAUAGCAUGGAGGGAUGAUGCAAGGGGAAAAAAGUUGCUUUGGCGAAGCAAACAAAAGGCCUCAGCCGGUAGAAGCACGUUAGCCACUUCUUUUUACCAUGCUUAAUGUCAGCUGCUAUUUUUCAGUUUUAUUCAUAUUAUCAUCAGUGCCUGGACUGUGAUGAAGCAUACAUAAGUGCACAUCUGUGACUUCUAAAUAUCAGAAGACUAAGAGCCAUUUUUGUAUUUGUGUAAAAAAUAAAAAGAGAGCAGCAUGGCUUUUUCUUUAAAAUCGAUGUCUUGAUUUAUCCAUAACCAUUUGAGUUGUUGGAUGAAAAAUAACUUUGUCAGUGCGCUUUAUUCUCAAUAGUCUUGUAUUACUUGGUGACACAGAGAUCAUCAAUAAUGAAUCUAUGACAAUGUAUUCUGAGA